rnacentral:rRNA from 1 species
AUUGCCUUAGUAACGGCGAGUGAAGCGGCAAAAGCUCAAAUUUGAAAUCUGGCACCUUCGGUGUCCGAGUUGUAAUUUGAAGAAGGUAACUUUGGAGUUGGCUCUUGUCUAUGUUCCUUGGAACAGGACGUCACAGAGGGUGAGAAUCCCGUGCGAUGAGAUGCCCAAUUCUAUGUAAAGUGCUUUCGAAGAGUCGAGUUGUUUGGGAAUGCAGCUCUAAGUGGGUGGUAAAUUCCAUCUAAAGCUAAAUAUUGGCGAGAGACCGAUAGCGAACAAGUACAGUGAUGGAAAGAUGAAAAGAACUUUGAAAAGAGAGUGAAAAAGUACGUGAAAUUGUUGAAAGGGAAGGGCUUGAGAUCAGACUUGGUAUUUUGCGAUCCUUUCCUUCUUGGUUGGGUUCCUCGCAGCUUACUGGGCCAGCAUCGGUUUGGAUGGUAGGAUAAUGACUAAGGAAUGUGGCUCUACUUCGGUGGAGUGUUAUAGCCUUGGUUGAUACUGCCUGUCUAGACCGAGGACUGCGUCUUUUGACUA